GUUAAUAGCCUGGUUUGAGGAGCAACGGCUCUCACCCAGCAGAUCAGUGCUCACAGCAGGGACUACGGCAUUAGGAGCUCAGAACUGCAAUUAUGGAGGAAUUUCCCCACAGCCAAAGCAACUCCCAAAGAAAAAGAGAUGGCUGAUCCCGAGGAAGAAUUUGUCACCCAUGGCCCUCUACUAGCAAAGGGCAGCGCCUUCCCCUUUUAGGCCUGCAUUUGUCUGCACUACACCCAACAGUUUUCUCAGCGUCUCACUUCAUGAGGACCUACUGGCUGGCUCCAGAAAACUUUUUUAAUGUGGUGGUCCUAGUGAGGAUGAGCCCAGGACCCAGGAUGGACCAUACCAACCCAAACAGAAGAGAGUGACUGGUUCAAGGAUAGGCACAUGAAGCCAGCCUGGACAACGAAAGUUCUCCUAGGACUUUUCUGCUGAAAGCAGCAAGGAAGACUUUAGAUAUUCAUCUUGGAUCUCAAGAUGCAAAGAUGUACGUGGGGGCUGCUGAAGGUUAUUUCUCCCACUAUAGAACAAAGAACAAAGCCAAAACACAAAAGUAGAGACAACUGAAGCUGAGAAAUGGAAAGCAUGAGAAAACUCUCUCAACUGUGAAACCUCGAGAUCCAGGACAAUCUGAAGCCAAUUCCACCUCUAGACUUCCUAGAUCUACAUGAAACAAUAAAUCUUCUAUGCCUCA